CCUAUAGAUCUUCAGAAAGCAGCAAAGCUCCCUGCAUUAUGCAACCUUGACUACAUAUCUAUCGACCCUAACGUUGAUUGCUCCAAGGUUUGAAGGACAAGUAUUGGAAUAUAAUCCCAUUA